rnacentral:rRNA from 1 species
CAGCAGCCGCGGUAAUACCAGCACCUCGAGUGGUCAGGAGGUUUAUUGGGCCUAAAGCAUCCGUAGCCGGUUGCAUAAGUUUUCGGUUAAAUCUGUGCGCUUAACGUAUAGGCCGCCGAAAAUACUGUGCAGCUAGGGAGUGGGAGAGGUACACGGUACUCGAUAGGAAGGGGUAAAAUCCUUUGAUCUAUUGAUGACCACCUGUGGCGAAGGCGGUGUACCAGAACACGUUCGACGGUGAGGGAUGAAAGCUGGGGGAGCAAACCGGAUUAGAUACCCCCGUAGUCCCUGUCUCUUAUAC